GAUUAACGGCUGGCGGCGUGCAUAACACAGUUCAAGUCGAACGGUGAAGGGAACUUCGGUUCCCCGAUCAGUGGCGGACGGGUGAGUAACGCGUGAGCAAUCUGCCUCUGUGUGCGGGAUAACAACCGGAAACAGUUGCUAAUACCGCAUAUUGAAUGAGAAUCGCAUGGUUUUCAUUUGAAAGAUUUAUCGCUUAUGGAUGGACUCGCGUCUGAUUAGAUAGUUGGUGAGGUAACGGCUCACCAAGUCGACGAUCAGUAGCCGAACUGAGAGGUUGAUCGGCCACAUUGGGACUGAGACACGGCCCAAACUCCUACGGGAGGCAGCAGUGGGGAAUAUUGCACAAUGGGGGAAACCCUGAUGCAGCAACGCCGCGUGAAGGAUGAAGGUUUUCGGAUCGUAAACUUCUAUCAACAGGGAAGAAACAAAUGACGGUACCUGAAUAAGAAGCCCCGGCUAACUACGUG
rnacentral:rRNA from 1 species